GAUGAACGCUAGCUACAGGCUUAACACAUGCAAGUCGAGGGACCGGCGCGCGGGUGAGUAACGCGUAUCCAACCUACCCAAUACUCAGGCAUAACCCGUUGAAAGACGGACUAAUUCCUGCUGGUAUUGGGUGGGGAUGCGUUUGAUUAGUUUGUUGGUGAAGUAACGGCUCACCAAGACUUCGAUCAGUAGGGGUGCUGAGAGGAAGGUCCCCCACAUCGGAACUGAGACCCGGUCCAAACUCCUACGGGAGGCAGCAGUGAUGAAUAUUAGUCAAUGGAUGCAAAUCUGAACCAGCCAAGUGGCGUGCAGGAUGACUGCCUAUGGGUUGUAAACUGCUUUUAUGUGAGAAUAUGUAUCACAUGAAUAAGGACCGGCUAACUACGUGCCAGCAGCCGCGGUAAUUC
rnacentral:rRNA from 1 species